rnacentral:rRNA from 1 species
AGUGAACGCUGGCGGUAGGCCUAACACAUGCAAGUCGAACGGCAGCACAGUAAGAGCUUGCUCUUACGGGUGGCGAGUGGCGGACGGGUGAGGAAUACAUCGGAAUCUACUUUUUCGUGGGGGAUAACGUAGGGAAACUUACGCUAAUACCGCAUACGACCUACGGGUGAAAGCAGGGGAUCUUUGGACCUUGUGCGAUUGAAUGAGCCGAUGUCGGAUUAGCUAGUUGGCGGGGUAAAGGCCCACCAAGGCGACGAUCCGUAGCUGGUCUGAGAGGAUGAUCAGCCGCACUGGAACUGAGACACGGUCCAGACUCCUACGGUAGGCAGCAGUGGGGAAUAUUAGACAAUGGGCGCAAGCCUGAUCCAGCCAUACCGAGUGGGUGAAGAAGGCCUUCGGGUUGUAAAGCCCUUUUGUUGGGAAAGAAAAGCAGCAGGUUAAUACCCCGCUGUUCUGACGGUACCCAAAGAAUAAGCACCGGCUAACUUCGUG